rnacentral:lncRNA from 1 species
UAAAAAUAUUAUCUCAGCUCCAAUGAAAACUCGUUGGAAUGCUUGUUAUGCUUGUAGAUAUAUCUUUGUAAACAAAGAUUUUCCAAUAGAAUUUUCUGAUUGGAAUGGAAAACUUUUUAAAGCUCUGUUAGAAG